rnacentral:rRNA from 1 species
CCUACGGGAGACAGCAGUGAGGAAUAUUGGUCAAUGGACGGAAGUCUGAACCAGCCAUGCCGCGUGCAGGAAGACGGCUCUAUGAGUUGUAAACUGCUUUUGUAAAAGGUUAAACCUGAAUACGUGUAUUCAGCUGAAAGUACUGUACGAAUAAGGAUCGGCUAACUCCGUGCCCGCAGCCGCGGUAAUACUGAGGAUCCAAGCGUUAUCCGGAUUUAUUGGGUUUAAAGGGUGCGUAGGCGGAUUGAUAAGUUAGAGGUGAAAUGUCCGAGCUUAACUCGGGAUCUGCCUCUACUACUGUUUAUCUAGAGAGUAGAUGCGGUAGGCGGAAUGUAUGGUGUAGCGGUGAAAUGCUUAGAGAUCAUACAGAACACCGAUUGCGAAGGCAGCUUACCAAUCUAUAUCUGACGUUGAGGCACGAAAGCGUGGGGAGCAAACAGGAUUAGAUACCCUUGUAGUC